rnacentral:rRNA from 1 species
UACGUAGGUGACCAGCGUUGUCCGGAUUUACUGGGCGUAAAGAGCGCGCAGGCGGUCGUUCAAGUCGAGUGUGAAAGCCCCCGGCUCAACUGGGGAGGGUCACGCGAUACUGAUCGACUCGAAGGCAGGAGAGGGUAGUGGAAUUCCCGGUGUAGUGGUGAAAUGCGUAGAGAUCGGGAAGAACAUCGGUGGCGAAAGCGCUCUACUGGACCGCAACUGACACUCAGGGACGAAAGCUAGGGGAGCGAAUGGG